rnacentral:rRNA from 1 species
AAUCAACGCUGGCGGCGUGCCUCAGACAUGCAAGCCGAACGCGAAAGUUUCCUUCGGGAGACAAGUAGAGUGGCGCACGGGUGAGUAACACGUAGGUAAUCUACCUUCGGAUGGGGAAUAACAAUCGGAAACGGUUGCUAAUACCGCAUAAUGCAGCGGCACCUAAUGGUGACAGUUGUUAAAGCGGGGGAUCGAAAGACCUCGCGUCUGAAGAGGAGCCUGCGGCGGAUAGCUAGUUGGUAAGGUAAUGGCUUACCAAGGCGACGAUCCGUAACCGGCCUGAGAGGGCGGUCGGUCACACUGACACUGACAUACGGGUCAGACUCCUACGGGAGGCAGCAGUCGGGAAUUUUGGGCAAUGGGCGAAAGCCUGACCCAGCAACGCCGCGUGAAGGA